rnacentral:tRNA from 1 species
GGGGAUAUAGCUCAGCUGGUAGAGCGCUUGAAUGGCAUUCAAGAGGUCAGGGGUUCGACUCCCCUUAUCUCCA